rnacentral:rRNA from 1 species
UACGAAGGGGGCUAGCGUUGUUCGGAUUUACUGGGCGUAAAGCGCACGUAGGCGGGUCGUUAAGUCAGGGGUGAAAUCCCGGAGCUCAACUCCGGAACUGCCUUUGAUACUGGCGACCUUGAGGCUGGAAGAGGUUAGUGGAAUUCCCAGUGUAGAGGUGAAAUUCGUAGAUAUUGGGAAGAAACACCAGUGGCGAAGGCGGCUAACUGGUCCAGAUCUGACGCUGAGGUGCGAAAAGCGUGGGGAGCAAACAGGG